rnacentral:lncRNA from 1 species
AGGAACUACAUCCCUAUGGGGAGACUCAUAUCAGAUGUAUUGAUUGAAGUGGCCUAAUGGAUCACCUGAUUCAGCUCAGACUCAUGGAAGAUGUCACCAUUGACACUGGAAGACCGCUGAAUGCUCGGAACCUGAAGAGAAUGGGAAUCAUUAAUCAAGUCAGAGCCAAACCAACACUUGAUACCUCCUGGGAAGCAUUCAGGGAUCAGAGGGAGAUUCCCAACAGACUCU